GGUGAUAGAAGUUACGCUGAGGUACAGCUGGUGAAGGCUAGACCGUCCAAAUUUACAGCAGAUCACUUCCAGCCUUCGCGGUUUUUGCGGCCACCUAGCCUAAGUAGACCAGUCCUUCGUAGGAUGCAGCCCCUAAAUUUGGACACAGCACUCAGACGCUCCACCAAUGGAUGGCAUUUAAGGUGCUUGAGGUUUGGGCAUGCCAUUCUUUUUGACAGACACUUCAGAAUGCCUGUGAGAAUAGUGUGGAAAAUUUGUAGAAUUCCAUGGACGAGUGUCAGAUGAGGUGGAAUGUCUCUGAUGUAUGCUAGCGGACGAGCUCCUUAGGAAGUUACAUCGUCCGUCUGCUGCGUUCUCUAGAUGGAGAACAUAACCAACAACUUGCUGUGCAUACAUUACACAUAGUACGAAUAACUGAAGGCAGGUUAUUAACAUGCUGAUGAAUUAAACAUGCUCUUAAAUACCAUUGGA